AGGGGCCGACACAGGGAAUGACAUAAGGUCUGCUUGGGGGAAACCCCUUUGCAUUCCUGGUAGACCAAGAACGCACGUUAGCUCUGCGCCUCUUGGCUCUGUCAAAACUUGUGGAUUUGAUUGCCGAUGGCUAGACCUAAGCUUGCAUCAACCACUCGAAGAUCCACAGCGGUCUGGUGUUGGUUCACCCCUCACAGGGUUCCAACUGCCGGCUGUCUGAAGUCUUCUCCAAGGAUCAUGACAUCAGUCUCUUGUGCUUUGCAGCUCUCAAGCGCGACCAAGCAGACUGGUGGAUUGCAUCCAAAGCAUGAAAGACCGGGGAAUAAGGAAGCUCAGGCCCGUGCUCACCCUUGGCGGCUCAAGACAGGUCCUCGGUGGCCAAGCUCUGAGCAGUGCUGGGUGGUGCAAAGGGAAGAGCAACUUCUUGCAAUCAUGCGUGACAAACACCAACCUUGGGUUGUCUGGUCCCUGACCAGGCUCCCUUGGAGGGCUUGCAACCGCUGGAUGGACUGGGAAGCUCUUAGGGUGGAACUAGACCUCUGUGGGGGCUGCCUGCAGUGAUAGUUACCUGGUUGAUUCUGCCAGU
rnacentral:misc_RNA from 1 species